UUCAGCUAACAUACAAAGCCCCCCUUCAACUAACACGACAAAGGCCCCCUUCUACUAGAUACCUGUCUCAUCAAAAUAAAUAUCUUCUCUAAUCUCUCUUCUCUGUGUGUUUUGGUGAGUCUAGCAAGCAGACUUACAACUCCUAACAGAGAUGUCUGGUGGUCCCCUCUCGUGCUUCUCCAAACAGGGAAUACUCCUACUCUCUAUCCUCCACUAUGACCCUUUGCUAUGAGACUCGAAAUUGAACUCAGGUGCAUCCUGUUUCCAUUGAUCAUCCUUGAGAUGUUUCUACAACUUGAUUGGAGUUCACCUGUGGGACCUGGGCUGAUGUCCCUCCAAAGGACCAGUAUGGCUUGAAGGGAGGUUCGGUGUGUCUGGCUGUUGCAAAACCACCUGAGGAAAUUAAAGGAUUUAGCUGGAAGGUCAAUAGUACUGUAAUAGUUGAUGAUAAAGAGAUCUCUCCUAAAUACAAGGAGAAGGUGGAUUAUAACCCAGUGAACCACACUCUGUGCAUUAAGAAUCUGACGAACACAGACAGUGGAAUUUACAUUGCAAAUACAAAGAAAAUAGAUUGGACAGAUUCAACGUCUUCAUACAAACUUAAGGUGUUGGGUGAGUUUUGUGAUUUGUUGUGUUUUGGUAGCCUGCUAUGUGUUUCUGCUUUGUUUCAAAAAGCUAAUCUCCUUUAAAAUGUCUUCACCAGUCAUACAUGUCAAAUGUAUCUUUCUGAACUGUGUUGGUUGUUGUAGAAGCUGUUCCCAUUCCAGCCAUGCAGGUGACAUACUACAACUCAAGUACAGGACUUUGUAACAUCACAGUGAAUUGUUCAGGCUGGAUGUUUUCUGUCUGUGAUGGAGGUCAGUGCCCACUGUACCAGGAUUCUCUGUCAGUCUCUGAGUUCAACAUCACUGUUUCCAGUGGUAAUGGAUUCAUCCAGUGUAUCGUCAACAAUCAUGUCAGCACAGAGACCAAAUCACAACGAAUGAAGGACACAUGUAUUGGUGAGAAGAAGGGGAUCGCUGCAGCAUCACUAGUUGGCAUCAUUGUGGGCAUUGUUACUGGUGGAUUAUUCUUAGUUGGUGUAGGAUGCAUCAUAUCAACCAGAAGAUGGCGAUCCCCUAAAGAAAUACUGCUUCUGAAGGCCGUUGUUCCAGAAGUUGACAACCCAGUGAGCACUAUACCAGGAAGACCAGAACCCCAGAACACCCCUGGAUCUGAGGUGACAUCUAUCUACGUUACUGCAGGCAGACCAGGAGCAGUACCAGCAUCAGCAGAAGGAGAAGAGGGGCAUCCAGGGGACAAAGAGUACACUUCACCAGAAGAGAUGAUAGAACCACAGUCCCCCCCACAGGCAGAGACAUUCUACAGCACCCUACAGCUACCAGCUGCAGCACAGCACCACCCAGUGGACAAAGGAAAUAAUGUAAAGAAACCAGACACGGUGUACUGCACAAUAGGAUAUUACCCCUCCAUCCUUCUCAGAGACCCACUGAUGUUACUUUGAUAAAGAUUUAACCCAUAGACUCAGGUACCGAAUGCAAACACAGGGGAAAUUAUGAAGGAGAGAGAAUUCUGACAAAAACAUUUGUUUGUUUUUGUCUAAAUUCAUCCAAAUUCAAAGUGUCAAUCUGCGAUUGCUACGUACUUUUACAUGAAUUGUAUAUAACUAUUGAUUCCUGCAGAAUACAACAUAUGCUUGUUUAACUCCAUUGUUUGUAAAAAUUGUAAUUAAAUUGGUGGCAGGGUACCCGUGUUAUUAUUAUUUGAACUGCAGUUUUCCCCUUUAACGAUAGAUUGUUCUGCAUACUGUCUUAUUUCUGUAAAUGAAAACUAAAACAUACAGAUGAAUACAGUAUCACUGUACAUGCUUUAAAAUAACUGUUAUACACAAAACAGCUGAAUUGAAAAUGGGAAACCCAUCCAAUCAAUCAAAUUGACCAAUCCAAUUUGUAAGUCGCUCUGGAUAAGAGCGUCUGCUAAAUGACUUAAAUGUAAUGUAAAUGUAAAUACAUAAACCAAUCAUUCAAUGAAUAAAUCAAGCAAGCAAGCAACAACCAA